GUCGAGGUGUCAGUCGGUAUCGAACUUUGCGGGGGUGGUGUGCGCCCGGGCAUUCCUCUCACCUGACGAGACGAGAUGCAAACCCGGGCAGCUGGGCAGCCAACAUGUUGAGACCGGCAAGGCAUGGGCAACUGCCUCUCCACAUGUGCCAAGAGUCCAGAUCCACCACCUCAAGAUUGCAUAGAACUAAAAGAUGCAGCACAAGGAAAUCUUUCAACAGAUACACAGGCGCUGGGAGGGGAGAAAGUACGAGAGCUUGUACAGCAGGAGUUACAAGCUCUACAAGACCAGAUUUCUCACAGUCAAGCCGUUCUCGCCAAGCUUCAUUUCCGGUUCACCGAUGAGUCGGUGUCACUGUCCGGAACUCAGUCUGAGUUGGCGAAGGUCCACCGAACCACGCAGACAUCCAACCCGGAUACUUUACCCAAGUCUCUGGAGUGUGUGCCUACAACUGCGGGUGAGGACCGAGGGUGGCAGCAGAUCACCUCCUCUUGCCCUGCCAUUGUCAACACAGCUGUACAGACAGACGAUGAAACCACCAGCAAGUCAAACGGCACAUCAGGAGAGUACUUCCUCCCUCCCAUCAGCCCCUUGGACUCUCAGGCCAGUGAACCGGCAUCACCAAAAGAUCUCAAUGAAAUCUCUUCUAAACCUUUUGAACCUCGACCUCUUGGACACAUUGACCUUGACAUUUACCGGUCAUGCCGUAAGCUGUCAGUGCUGCCAGAGGAGGAGACAAUGGUGGAGGAAACUUCUCCUCCAACCGCAGGGAGUCGUCUCGCUCCCUCCCACUACCCUCAUCACCAGGCACACUCCUUUGAGUCCUACCUGUUGCCGAUGCCCUGUGGUGCAUCGGUCCGUAGACAACUGUCGGACCCGACUCCCAGCCCUGAGAUACACCCCGCAUCGCGUAGAAGUAGUCGUUCCACCUGUCGUCCUCUACAGCUCCAACCCGACACAAACUAUUUUCGCUUCCCUGAAGUUAAACCCCCUUCAGAGGCUAGUCCUACCACGAAAGAAGCGCAGGCUCCGAAAAGUCCCCCUUGUGUUAAAUUUCAAGACCAAACAGACUUUUCAGAAGAAGAUUAUUUCCCCAGGAUCACAUCACCAACUUACAACAUCCUUCAAGACACUGUUUCCCAGCUCAUCACCAUGUCUACAGAAUCUCUUGAUGCUCAGACUGAUCAUGUAAAUGUUGUUAAGAAGGAUUCAUUAACUAUCCCUGGCUACUAUACCUUCACUCCCGAUGGGUCCACACCUUUUAAAACACCUCCAGACAAUUCACUAAUAAGUACUCCUGGAUUCUUUACACCACAAGAAUUUUUUGAUAAGAAACUUCCUGAAUCUUCAACAUCAUCUUCCUUUCAAACUCCAUCAAGUGCCUCACCAGGUGCUAAUGGGAUUACUGCAGGAUCCAACAAAUCAACAUCAAAUUCAUCCUACUCUUACAAAACUCCUCCACUUGAAUUAAUGUCAGACGAAAUCUCGCAUCCGUCUUCUUUCAGCAGUCCUCUGUAUAUGUCUCCACUUGCCAGAAAACGAACACAGCCAUCGAACGAGAGCAACGAACAUGCCUUCACUGAGGUGCCAGAUCUGAAAAACAUUCGCACAAAUAGUAAACUUUAUGUCAAACCUUUGUCUGUGGAAUUCGACCGUAAUCGCACAAUGUUAUCCAUUUUAUUAGACGAACCGAGGGUCCAAAAUGACAAUAUCAGUGGUGAACCUGUAGAUGAAUCCACAAUGCCUUUUAUUUCAUUCACUUCACUUGACAUUCAGCGUCCUCCCGCACCACCUGACCAAGUGCCUUCAACCAGUCUAAACUCUCCUGACGCUUCUCUCAGCCCCGGUCCUGAGGGGUUAGCUCGGACUCCAUCCCGUAGACGACUACAACGUUCUCUAGUCCGCAUUAGCUCUGAAACUCCUCUAGAGCUUGUUCCUGUUGAGGCAAGCGUAACAGUCCCACCUGCAGACUUGCCUGCAGCCAACAACGACAUCCCGGUAACGGAAGACCAGAGCAAUGGUGCAGAGAAAGUUACUAAAACUGAGGAUGGGCCGAAGAUGCGGCGAACUAAUUCAGACGGGGGCUCAGGAUUACUCACCUCCGUGGGGUCUGGUGCUGUAGCCCCCACGGGACCCAUGCUCACUGCUUCCCACUCCUUCCCCUCUCUCUCAGACACUGUGCUGCGACAGCUGGGUGCUCUAAUGGAGGAAGUCAAGCAGCAGAAAGAGGAAAACCAAAGUUCAGAAAAAGACAUAGAGAAUAAGUUUACAUCACUGAUGUUAGCGUUCAAAACAGACAAGCUGACACUGGACCAGCGUCUGGAGCUGCAGCGGCGUCUGCGAGACCAGGCAGAGUCCAAUAUGGCCGGAGAACUUAACAAGCUGAAGGCUGCUGUCCAGCUGCUCAGUCCGCUCUGCACAGACUCGGAGAAGAUUGAGCUGCUAGAGAAGGUUAGCGAACAGGUUGAUGCUCUCCACAAGUCCACCACCCGAGUCUCUACCUCUGCAGAGAUGUACGGAGCAGUACAACAAGAGAACCGGUUGUCCAAGGCUGUGGACAUCAUCCUGAGACAUGUGGAGAACCUGAAGCAAGCAUAUGACAAAGAGAAGACUGAUCACGAGGAGACCAGGAAAAUUAUCACAGACAACAAAUCUCCAUCAAAUGCAGUACUUAAACUGCAAAACUCGAAGCGCAGAGCGAGCAUAGCGACCCUAACUCGAGCUCAAGCCUCGCCAGACCUUAGCCGCAGCCCUGCCCUGCCAGGGCUUCAUGCUAAAAAGAGGCUCUCAAUGCCUUGAGGAGGGCCGGGGACUGAGUCGAGUGCGGUUGGGCUCACUGCCUCGCAGGCUGUCCAACACCAUUCUAGAGGCGGACCCAGAGGAUUCCACGACCAAGGACCUAAUCAACAACACUGCAGGUGCUAGUCAACCACGGGAGUUAGU
rnacentral:misc_RNA from 1 species